UACGUAUGGUGCAAGCGUUAUCCGGAUUUACUGGGUGUAAAGGGAGCACAGGCGGCACGGCAAGCCUGAUGUGAAAGCCCGCGGCCCAACCGCGGGACUGCAUUGGGAACUACAGGGCUGGAGUGCCGGAGAGGUAGGCGGAAUUCCUAGUGUAGCGGUGAAAUGCGUAGAUAUUAGGAGGAACACCAGUGGCGAAGGCGGCCUACUGGACGGUGACUGACGCUGAGGCUCGAAAGCGUGGGGAGCAAACAGG
rnacentral:rRNA from 1 species